AAACAAUAUAUUCAUAUUUCCAAUUAAACCUCGAGGCUAAUCUUUCAUUGAAGAAUGAAAAUAUGAUGAAAGAGGUGCCUGGAGAGAGCAGUGGAUUAUCAUACUAGACUUUCAUCACUGGAGAACUGGAUUCAAUUUCUAAUAUAGGAAUUCCUUGAGAAUCAAGAAAGAAGCUAUAAGGGGUACGAUCUUGUCAGCCUCCUCUGAUUGAUAUAGCCUUAUGUCAUUGCAGGCAGAAGCCUUUAAGUGAAAGACUACAAUCUACCUUCUUUAUAUUUUCUUGCACAGUUCUCCUUUGGACUCUGUAUUUCCAAAUUGUGAAACCUAAAUCAACCGAUUUCCUCAUCAUCACUGAAGCCCUGGAUUGCUUGACUCCUCACAGCCUGAUGAGAUGAUAGUUUUCCAACAGCUUAUUUUCUUUGUUUUUAGUUAGCUCAAUGAAAAAUCUGAAGGCACCCAUGGGUGGGUUAAAUGGUAACUACACCUUAGAAAUCAGAAGUCCUGUACAUUUUUUAGCGUUUGCCUUGAGUAGAAUUCAAAGGUUUAUUGUUAAAAGGUGUUAGCUAAUAUGGUCUGAAAAAAACUCUAGUGUAGACAAGGCAAUGCAAACUUAAUGCAUGCUAAGCUGCUCAAUUUGAAGCUUUCUGGGAACCUACCUACUCGUGUGGGGUGUUAAUUUUUUUGGCAUCAUAAUCUCUGAGAAGAAUUGUUCAUUUACUAUUAGCUUUGAAAAGACCUAGUCCCCUUCAAGUAUUUAAAAUAAUUAAAAGCAAAGUUACAGCUGUGCUUCUUGUCAAUAAGGUCCUGCUUCAUUAAACAGAGAGAGAUUUAUUACAUCCACUAGACAAUUAAAAUAGUGUAAAGAUCUGCAAUUAGUUAAAGACUGAGUAGCUAUUCAUCACAUGGGGUUCAAUCCUGAAGUCUUUACUUAGGUGAAAUUCCUGUAGGCUUCAAUAAGAUUAUUGUUUGAAGAAGGACAAGAUUUACUAAGGAACUAACGUCUACAAAUGUGGGCAUCAUUAAUGUAACAAGCACUGGUUUUUGUUUUGUUUUGUUUUUUUUAAUGGAAUCUCACUGGUGAAUGGCACAUGUAUGAACACUCUAGCUCCAACACUGCAAACAUGUAUGCACAUAUUUUAUUUUACUAAUCUGAACAACAGCAUGAGCUAUAUAUGGUAGUAAAGUUAAGCAUGGAAAUGUUUGGAGGAU